rnacentral:lncRNA from 1 species
UGGCGGCAAGGCCGGCGUGAGGGACCGCUUCUCCCGCUCCACGCGGACAUACUGAAUCCAAAAAAAAUUCUAGUCGGUUUCGGAGCCAGUCCGACCCUAGACCAAUCCCAAAAAGGUCAAGAACAUGUUCAAGAAAAAAGAAAGUAUUAAUGAGAUGAAAUGCGCUGUAGGGAUUUUUUUUUUUUUUUUGAAAUAUGACACUAUA